CACACACAGACACACACACACACACACACACACACAAACACACACACACAGACACACACACAGACACACACACACACACUCAGACUCAGCAGCAGCGUGUCAGCAGCUGUCUGCUGGUCUCUCAGUCAUGUUAUCCUUGGCUGCCCUGGUGCUCCGUCUCCGAGUCUCUGGUUGCCAGGGAAGAAGACGAUCCAUCGCAACUGUGGUCUCAGGGAACAGGACGUCCAAGUUGGUGAGGGAGCGGCUGCAGAAGGAGGUGGAGAAGAUGAGGAGUCAGUUCUCAGGGUUCAGACCUGGUCUGCUGGUUCUGCAGGUGGGCGACAGAGACGACUCUAAUCUGUACAUCAGCUCCAAACUGAAGGCUGCAGCCGAGGUCAGAA